GCGCCUGUGGCUCAAAGGAGUAGGGCACUGGCCUCACAUACCAGAGGUGGCGGGUUCAAACCCGGCCCUGGCCA
rfam:Otolemur garnettii contig046816, whole genome shotgun sequence.